rnacentral:lncRNA from 7 species
AGAUGGAUGCAAGGUGGCUGUGAGGCCUAUUGAUUCGAAAACCACCUUCCCCACAAAGCAGAGACGGAAAAGAAAAGCAGCAGAGAUUCAUCCAUCUGCUGCUAAGGACACAGAUGAGCCCCCAGCUAGAAAACUACCUAUGUCUGGAACUGCUUCCAGGAACACAGACAUACUCUGUGGCACAGUCAGAGGUCUCAAACUCAACAGCCCAUUCCUCACAAGAAGCAGAUAAGACGCAGCAGCUGAGAUGCACAGAGGCGGGGAAAGCACUCGUCUCUGAAGAUGAUGACCUUCAGAAGUUAUUGAUGGAAAUCACAGGAGAACUGGAAGGAGAAAAUGAUGUGGAUGCUGAAAAGGGUGUGGAUGAGCUCCUUCUGGAACUGUCUGAGAUCACUGACAGCGUGAUACCACAGUCUGAUUGUAUAUUUUAAAACAAACAACAGCAACAACCAAUUAAAACCAACCCUGUUCCUUU